rnacentral:rRNA from 1 species
CUGACUGCUAUCGGAUUGAUACUAAGCCAUGCGAGUCUUUGCAGUAAUGCAAGGCAUACGGCUCAGUAACACGUAGUCAACUUACCCUAUGGACGAGGAUAAUCUCGGGAAACUGAGCAUAAUACUCGAUAGAUCAUAAUGCCUGGAAUGGUUUAUGGUUGAAAUGAUUCGUCGCCAUAGGAUGGGACUGCGGCCUAUCAGCUUGUUGGUGAGGUAAUGGCCCACCAAGGCGAUUACAGGUACGGGCUCUGAGAGGAGAAGCCCGGAGAUGGGUACUGAGACAAGGACCCAGGCCCUAUGGGGCGCAGCAGGCGAGAAAACUUUGCAAUGUGCGGAAGCACGACAAGGUUAAUCCGAGUGAUUUCUGCUAAAGAAAUCUUUUGCAAGUCAUAAAACCACUAACGAAUAAGGGGUGGGCAAGUUCUGGUGUCAGCCGCCGCGGUAAAACCAGCACCUCAAGUGGUCAGGAUGAUUAUUGGGCCUAAAGCAUCCGUAGCCGGCUCUGUAAGUUUUCGGUUAAAUCUGUACGCUCAACGUACAGGCUGCCGGGAAUACUGCAGAACUAGGGAGUGGGAGAGGUAGACGGUACUCGGUAGGAAGUGGUAAAAUGCUUUGAUCUAUCGAUGACCACCUGUGGCGAAGGCGGUCUACCAGAACACGUCCGACGGUGAGGGAUGAAAGCUGGGGGAGCAAACCGGAUUAGAUACCCGGGUAGUCCCAGCUGUAAACUAUGCAAACUCAGUGAUGCAUUGGCUUGUGGCCAAUGCAGUGCUGCAGGGAAGCCGUUAAGUUUGCCGCCUGGGAAGUACGUACGCAAGUAUGAAACUUAAAGGAAUUGGCGGGGGAGCACCACAAGGGGUGAAGCCUGCGGUUCAAUUGGAGUCAACGCCGGG